rnacentral:lncRNA from 1 species
GAUAAUCAAAACUGCUCAAAAUCGAAAUCGGCCAUUGACUGGUUCUUAUCUAACUAUACGGUUAGUGGUUAGAUCGGCCAGUUGUGCCUUUUGAUUUUAGAGAAAGAAAGCGGAGAGAUCGGCCAGUUGUGCCUUUUGAUUUUAGAGAGAGGAAGCGGAGAGAGAAAAAAAAAAAAGGAUCGCUUUGAUUUUAGACCGACAGAGACAGAGAUGGCGGGGGGUCAAUGGAAGAGGGGCCCAGAAAGCGUACGGGGAGGAAAAGAAUGAGGACCUCCGUUCUCUUCUGGAACCCCUAAGGAACGAUCAGUUCCUCGAUCUCGUCCUUAAGCUGUGAGAUCCACUCUCUCUCUCUCUAUGGAUUGUUGCUUUAAAGUUCAUGCUUAUAAAGCUUCCUCCUCUUUUAUCUUUCUUUUGGGUUUUGUUUUAGAGAGAAGGGGAGGGGGAGGGGGAGAUGCGAUGCAUUUUAGUGGGGGUUUUUGUGCUGUGCUUGGGGUGAUCCUUCUUUACAUCAAUCCCAAUGGGUUUUGUUCGUUUGAGUAGUGAAGGGUGUUCUUGGGCGGCGAAGAAUUUUACUUAGUUUGAUUAUCUUGAGAGAGAGAUGGAGGAUACAUUCUGGUCUGGUCAUUUGCUGGUCUCUGCAUUCGAGAAAGAUGCAUUUGGUUUGGUUCUUUUAUGGACUCCUGGAGAGAGAAGAAUAGGGAAUGAGGCGAUGCAUUAGAUAAAGAGAGAUACGGGAAACGCAACUGGUAGUGCCUCUCUCUAACUCUUAUCACAAAUAGAGUAAUGGCUCUUUUUUUUCUCUAACUCUAUAAAAAAACUAAGAACAUCAGACAUCUUUUUUUUUUACUUUGAAAGAUACAAAUAGAGUAAUGGUUAUUUUUCUCUCUAACUCUUUUAAAAACUAAGAAAGUGAGAAGUUGUCGUCUGAU